UCAAAAGUAUCAGGAAUAGUUUAGGCUCUCCAGAAGUACCUCUAUAUAAUCAGUAAUUAAUAUUUGUACAAUGAAGUCUCGGGGUCGAACGGGCUGGUAUUGAGUUCAAAAGCCCUGAAACACUGGCUGCAGUUCCCGGCCGGUUGGUGGCUCCUUCAUCACAAAGGGAGAUAACCACAGAUCUUGUGCUCCUGGGAGGCCACACGACGCCUUUCGAAGGAUAGGAGAUGAAAACAAAAGCACAGGAAGAAACGAAGAGCGGUUUUUUCCGGUGGGCUCGGGACCAUAGAGGGUCACUCCGCCAGGAUCCUAGAGCGACCGCGUGGCGCAGACUAACCGCGCGGCCUGCACUUCCGGCAGCGCGAAGGGCUCGGGGCAGGCGAGCGAGGGUGGCGGCGAAAAUUCUGAGCUGUGUAUCUCUAGGAAGUGGAACACUCAUUCAGAAGAAGAACAUAGACUCUCUUAAGAAUACAUUUGACUCUUCACCAUGCGGUUAGGAAAACCUAAAGGAGGUAUAUCUCGGAGCUCAAGCCAAGGAAAAGUCUAUGAGAACCAGCGCAAAACAGGCCGGCAGCGGCAGAGAUGGGGGAUGACUGUCCGAUUUGACUCAAGCUUGAGUAGACUGAGAAGAAGCUUGGAUGAGAAGCCUUAUAAAUGUGUUGAAUGUGAAAAGAGCUUCAGUCAGAGCUCAACUCUUUUUCAACACCAGAAGAUCCAUACUGGAAAGAAAUCCCAUAAAUGUGCAGAUUGUGGGAAAAGUUUCUUUCAGAGUUCUAAUCUCAUUCAGCAUCGCCGCAUCCACACCGGGGAAAAGCCCUAUAAAUGCGAUGAGUGUGGAGAGAGGUUUAAACAGAGCUCAAAUCUCAUUCAGCACCAGAGAAUUCAUACUGGAGAAAAACCUUAUCAGUGUGAUGAAUGUGGCCGAUGCUUCAGCCAGAGUUCCCACCUCAUUCAGCAUCAGAGAACCCACACUGGGGAGAAACCCUACCAGUGCAGUGAAUGUGGCAAAUGCUUCAGCCAGAGCUCUCACCUUAGGCAGCACAUGAAGGUACACAAAGAAGAGAAGCCCCGUAAAACCCGAGGCAAAAAUAUCAGGGCAAAAACUCACUUGGUAUCAUCUUGGAAAGCUGGUAAAGGAAGAAAGUCAGUGGCUGGUCUCCGCUAAGUAAGGGCACUGCAUCAGCCCUUUUUUAAAAAAUGAAAAGUGCUUCUUUUGGAACUGGAGAUAUUUUUUAAAUUUAGUAGUGUACUUAAAUACCGUAUCCUUUCCUAGCAUGAGGACAUUGGGAGUUUAAUGACAUUGGGCUCAGAGAAGUUAUGAGUCCAGCCUUCCUUAUUUUAUAUGUAACCUGCAGUACAGAAAACAGAAAAUGUGUUUCUAGAGAACAUAAGCUCCUUGAUCUCAUUCGAAAUUGCUUCCUGCAUCAUUUUGACAAAAAAAAAAUCAUGUUUUGAUGACGUGUAAAAGUGUAGAAAUUCCAGUGACUGCUCAGUUUUAGGACUUUCCUUAGAAGGAAUAAUUAAAAGGGAGAAAUUAAUUCCAUCAGUUUUGGAGUUCUGCCGUAGACGAGAUUUUAUGUUUUUAAAGUUUUGUAGUAUAUUAACCAUUGUUUUGUAAGUAUGUCUCAAGAUUCAGCAUACUAAAAUGAAUUCAUGUUCACAGAUUUUUAGUCAGUGAAGUACAUCACUUUGUGUUAGCUUUUUUUGUUUGUUUCUCCUGUUUAAUGAUAGUUACUAAUUAAAGGAGUAGAAUUUCCCUAUUUUUCAUCAAAUUCUUAGUAAGUGAUACUCUGGAAGCCAAAGAGAGAAGUGAAUUAGAUCACAGGUGCCCUAUUCCUGCUAAUGCUGUCCUUUGUGAUGGUAUUACACUGUGUCACUUGUUUUUAGAAGUUGGAAUGGCUUUAUGUUAGCCCAUACCCAUGUCUUUGACUUCUUUCAGCUCUCUCUUGUGCUCUGACAAACUGAGCCAGCCUUUUAGAGCUAAAUGAAUAAAUAAACCAAAAUUAUUUCUUCAAAAUAAUCUCAACUUGCAAAUUAAAAAUCUAUAAUUUAUAUGCUUCCCUGCCUCCCCCUUCAAGAGCUUCAUAUAACCCUGGUUAUCUUGAAUGUUUGCCAGUAGCAUAGUGAAGUUUUUAAAAAGUCAAGUGUUACUGCAUUGUAGCUUUUUUGAAAUCUAAGUUUAACUUUUUCUGAGUUACCUAUCUUAUUUAUAAGACCAAAUAAGUUUCUUAUCUUUCAUGAGAACAGUGCCAAGUAUCAAACAUUUUGAUCAGCCUUCAGCUCAGGUUUUAAUUUCUAUUAAAUGCUAACAUUCUUCUGAUUUUUUUUUUUAUCUUUCAUAAUCAUAUCUGAUCCUGCUGUAUUAAUGACAGUUACCCAUAAAAAAAUUUUUUUAAAGAGUAUUUUGCAUAUUACUACCUUCUGUUUAUUUUUCUCCUGGGAAGUUGCUUUGAUGAUAUAGGCAGCAUCUAAAAUCACAGCCUUGGAAGAAUCACUUGCUUUGCCUGUCUUUGAUUGCCUCAAACUUGAACUUUGCCUCCCUCAUGGCCUUGUAUUUGAGUGCCAAGUCAUGAAGAUGGCUUUGUCGACAGCAGUUUGAUCCAAUAGGAUAUUCACAGUGUUGUGUGAGUACAGGCAUGCCUUAGAGUACCACAAUAAAGCAAAUAUCACAGUAAA